rnacentral:rRNA from 1 species
UCAAAGAUUAAGCCAUGCAUGUCUCAGUACAAACCAAAUAAGAAGGUGAAACCGCGAAUGGCUCAUUAAAUCAGCUAUUUUUUAUUAGAUAUUUAUACCCUGUUUUUCCUUGGAUAACUGUGGUAAUUCUAGAGCUAAUACAUGCCCAUAUAGUCCCUGACUUUACUGUCAGGGCGCUCUUAUUAGUAUCAAAACCGGUAACAGACUUUGGUCUGUAAACCAACCUAUGAUGACUCUGGAUAAUUUAUAGCUGAGCGCACAGUCUUUGUACUGGUGCUGCUUCUUUCAAGUGUCUGCCUUAUCAGCUUUCGAUUGUAAGUUAUGUGCUUACAAUGGCUAUAACGGGUGACGGGGAAUCAGGGUUCGAUUCCGGAGAGGGAGCCUGAGAAACGGCUACCACAUCCAAGGAAGGCAGCAGGCACGCAAAUUACCCACUCCCAGCACGGGGAGGUAGUGACGAAAAAUAACGAUGCGAGACUCAUCCGAGGCCUCGCAAUCGGAAUGAGUACACUUUAAAUCCUUUAACGAGGAUCCAUUGGAGGGCAAGUCUGGUGCCAGCAGCCGCGGUAAUUCCAGCUCCAAUAGCAUAUAUUAAAGUUGUUGCGGUUAAAAAGCUCGUAGUUGGAUUACCGUUCUGGACUGAUGGUACUUCGCCUUAUGGUGUUUACUAUCACGCUCCAAAACCGCCUACACAACGUAAAAGUUGUUGGGCUCCACCAGCUCGCAUGGGAUGCUCUUAACCGAGUGUCCUGAGUGGCUGGUAUGUUUACUUUGAAAAAAUUAGAGUGCUCAGAGCAGGCUAUAUGUAUUGCCUGAAUGACUAUGCAUGGAAUAAUGGAAUAGGACCUCGGUUCUAUUUUGUCGGUUUUCUUUGGAAUCCGAGGUAAUGACUAAGAGAGACAAACGGGGGCAUUUGUACUGUGGCGCUAGAGGUGAAAUUCUUGGACCGUCACAAGACAAACAACUGCGAAAGCAUUUGCCAAGGAUGUUUUCAUUAAUCAAGAACGAAAGUUAGAGGUUCGAAGGCGAUCAGAUACCGCCCUAGUUCUAACCAUAAACGAUGCUAACCAGCAAUCCGCCGGUGUUAUUCCCAUGACCCGGCGGGCAGCUUCCGGGAAACCAAAGUCUUUGAGUUUCGGGGGAAGUAUGGUUGCAAAGCUGAAACUUAAAGGAAUUGACGGAAGGGCACCACCAGGAGUGGAGCCUGCGGCUUAAUUUGACUCAACACGGGAAACCUCACCAGGCCCAGACACUGGAAGGAUUGACAGAUUGAGAGCUCUUUCUCGAUUCAGUGGGUGGUGGUGCAUGGC